rnacentral:tRNA from 1 species
GAAGGAGUGGCUGAGUGGUUUAAGGCGGUAAACUGUAACUUUACUAAUGUUAUCAUUAUCAUAGGUUCGAAUCCUAUCUCCCUCA